GUGCCUAUAGUUUAGUGGUAGAACUGCUGGUUGUGGUCCAGCUAGCGAGAGUUCGAUUCUCUCUAGGCACC
rnacentral:tRNA from 1 species